rnacentral:lncRNA from 1 species
CAUUGUGAUUAAAAAGAUAAUCAGCUUGAUUUUUGAUAACCAAAGAGUUACCAGGGAUAUCUGAAAAGAAAAGAAAUUCCCAACUAUGAAUUCACACAUGUUAUUUUCUAAUUUAGAUUUUCACACCAAAUAAUAUGUAAUAAGUAAACACGUAUUUUCCAUAUUAUUUCUAUUCUAUUCUUCUGGUGCAGUUUUUCUUAGAAGUGAGGUUUUGUCAUGAAUUGGUGCUACCAUAAGUAGAAUUUUAAAAUUGACUGUCUUCCAAAACAAAAAUAAAAAAGACAGUAAGGUAAUUUUUAAAAAACGGUUUCCUUAGUUCACAGUGAUAUAAUAUUUAUGCUGAGAUUGUUUUAAAUGAACUCUGUGAUAGAAUUGUUGAUUUAUUAAUAUUUGGAUUUGGGUUGAUGUUCCUUUUACAUUUGCUGUAGGAAAUACCCACGACAUGAGGUUUGUAAGCUUUUGUGUUUUUCUCUAUUCUAACCACUCUGCUUGAAAUAUAAUUUUGAAGAUGCUAGUAAAAAAUAUAACAAAUUC